GCAGCCUCAAGAAAUGCCAUCUGGACCAACAAAAUGAGUUGGAAAAUGUGUAAUACUGAAGUGGAUUAAAGAUAGACACAAAUUUUUGACACUGUUCUCAUCAAAAGGUGCUGAUAACCUUCAGAACAUGGCAGCUGCUUUCCUUCUGCCUCCCAGAACUCACAACUUCCCUUUGGACCAACUCCAAUCUGAAAUUAUGUAGAAAGGGAGAGUCUGAAAAACAUAGUCCCAAACAUAACCAAGUAGACAAUAGAACAAUCUGGCACAUUGAUUGGUAUUUUGACUUAACCGCCAGAUCACCAGCAGCUCAUUGUAGGCAGGCGCAAGUAAAUAUCUCACCUCAAAUGCAACAAGUACAAAAUGAAUGCAUCAUAGUGUCCCAGGCUUCCAUUAAACAAAAACAAAUAAAUAAAACAAACAAAAAGCAAUCUUUUAUCCCUCAGCUUUAUUAAUGCAUAACUAACAAAUAAAAAUGGUAUAUAUAUUUAUGGUGUACAUCAUGACAUUUCUUUCCGUGUAUACAAAAAGCAAUCUUUCUGAGUACUGCUCAGUUACCACUACCUCUAAGUGAUCCUGUGUAUUCCACACCCUAAGUGUCCAUCUGACCUUCCUCACUGCCCUGUGUCCCAGCAGUCUCUGCCUUCUAUCAAGCUUUCCUCUUUGCUUUCCCGCAUUAAUGAAGUGCUCCUCUCUCUUGCCACCCUGCCUCCAAUCUCGCCCUGCUCCAAACCUUCCAUUAAACCACAUGAAUCUUUCUAAAAUGUAAAAUUCUGCUUAUUUUACUUAAAUUAUUUUAGUGACUCCGUAUCACCUAUCAUAUACAUCUUUCUUGGUGUGAUAUGAAAGACCCCUCAUAUAUAUUCUGACCCCCACCUACAUUUUUAGCCCCUCUCCUGUCCUAAUCCCAAAUGCACUGUGCCCCAACUAUUUUAAACUAUUUGUAAAACCCUGAUUAUAGGAUUAUGUCAACACAGGAGUCUGUGUGCCUUCCUCCCCUUGCAAAUACAGUUGCCUGACAAACUCCUUCUCAUCCCAUAGGAUUUGACUCAAACAUGACCUUCUUUGUGGUGUCCUCCUUGUUUCCUCACCUUCUCCCAAUCCCCAAAGUCAGUCCAUAACAUUCUCCUAACAGUGGAUAGCAUGUGCCAUGCUGUACCAGGUCUGCUGAUUUACAUGUCUGUCUUCUGUGCUAGUUGUGAGCUCCUCAAUGUUAAGGACCACAUCUCAUUCAUCUUUGUAGUCCCAGACACUAACACUUCCCAGGUGCAUGGUAGGGGCUCAAUAAACAUUUGGUUAAGAAAUUAAUUGAUGAAUCACAAGAUCUGACAUGUUUAAAUAUUUUAUUCCAUAUUUAUAGCUGCUUCCAUACAAAUUAUGAUUCCCAUAAAACAUAGGUUUACAUUUACCAAAAAAAAAAUUAAUUUGGGGGUAAUCCAAUACAUGUACAUGGCCAAAUAAUGAAAUUCAGUUUAAAUCUUGAAAUGGCCCUAAAUCAUAUGACCUCAUUGAUCAGAUUAAUAAGAUUAUUUCUAAAUCUCAAUUUCACCAGUGAUGUUUAAACAUAUUUUUGACCUGCCAUUGGAAUACAGAACAACAAAGGAAACAUCUGGUUGUUCUUAACUUUGGGGAGACAAAUCCAUUUGUUAACAGUAGCAAUAGGAGAGCUGACAGAACCUGAUAACAGCUCCAACACAGGGAGCUCAGCCCACAACAGAUGGACCAGACACUUCAGGGAAAGCUUUAAAAAGAUGUCUUUUCUAAUUCAGGUUAUACACUCCUUGAAAGUUCCUUCAACAUAAGCAUGAAAGUUUGCAGAUGAUUUUAUCAGGUCUGACAGCUUUUUUCUAGAGGUUAGUUUGCAAUUGCCUCUCGG
rnacentral:lncRNA from 10 species